GGUCCUAUAGCUCAGCUGGUUAGAGCACCUGACUCAUAAUCAGGGGGUCCCUGGUUCGAGCCCAGGUGGGACCACUA
rnacentral:tRNA from 2 species